UAUGAUCCAGAGUACCACGGGACACGUGAAACCCUGUGGGAAGCAGGAGGGACCACCCUCCAAGGCUAAAUACUACCUAGUGACCGAUAGCGUAUAGUACCGUGAGGGAAAGGUGAAAAGAACCCCGUGAGGGGAGUGAAAUAGAACCUGAAACCCUGCACUUACAAGCUGUGGAAGCACAUUUCUUGUGUGACCGCGUACUUUUUGUAGAACGGGCCAACGAGUUACGUUAAGUAGCAAG
rnacentral:rRNA from 1 species